GCUGGCGUAGCUCAACGGUAGAGCAGCUGAUUUGUAAUCAGCAGGUUGCGGGUUCAAUUCCCAUCGCCAGCU
rnacentral:tRNA from 1 species